AGGAAUGGGCUGGGAUUAUCUGGAGAUGUGUCCUCCCUCCUCGCCCACCCUGCUCUCUCUUAAACAUUACCCCUGUUAGGAGCGCCGGCUGCAUAUGUAUGUGGUGUACUGUCAGAAUAAGCCCAAGUCAGAGCAUGUGGUGUCAGAGUUUGGGGACAGCUACUUUGAGGAGCUCCGGCAGCAGCUGGGGCACCGCCUGCAGCUGAACGACCUCCUCAUCAAACCUGUGCAGCGGAUCAUGAAAUACCAGCUGCUGCUCAAGGAUUUUCUCAAGUAUUACAAUAGAGCUGGGAUGGAUACUGCAGAGCUAGAGCAAGCUGUGGAGGUCAUGUGCUUUGUGCCCAAGCGCUGCAACGAUAUGAUGACGCUGGGGAGAUUGCGGGGAUUUGAGGGCAAACUGACUGCUCAGGGGAAGCUCUUGAGCCAGGACACUUUCUGGGUCACCGAGCCUGAGGCUGGAGGGCUGCUGUCUUCCCGAGGUCGAGAGAGGCGUGUCUUCCUCUUUGAGCAAAUCAUCAUCUUCAGUGAAGCCCUGGGAGGAGGAGUGAGGGGUGGAACACAGCCUGGAUAUGUAUACAAGAACAGCAUUAAGGCUGCAGACCCUGCUAUCAGUCAGGCCUGGAUCAAGCAUGUGGCUCAGAUCUUGGAGAGCCAACGGGACUUCCUCA
rnacentral:sRNA from 1 species